rnacentral:piRNA from 1 species
GCGAGAUAAAGGUAACAUGCGAGUAAGG